GGGUGAUAUGAUGGCAUACCAUCUUUCGGGACUGACUCUAAGACUGGAGAGUUCCUUUUACUCUACUGAUCACAA